GACGAACGCUGGCGGCGUGCUUAACACAUGCAAGUCGAACGGAAAGGCCCUGCUUUUGUGGGGUGCUCGAGUGGCGAACGGGUGAGUAACACGUGAGUAACCUGCCCUUGACUUUGGGAUAACUUCAGGAAACUGGGGCUAAUACCGGAUAGGAGCUCCUGCUGCAUGGUGGGGGUUGGAAAGUUUCGGCGGUUGGGGAUGGACUCGCGGCUUAUCAGCUUGUUGGUGGGGUAGUGGCUUACCAAGGCUUUGACGGGUAGCCGGCCUGAGAGGGUGACCGGCCACAUUGGGACUGAGAUACGGCCCAGACUCCUACGGGAGGCAGCAGUGGGGAAUAUUGCACAAUGGGCGGAAGCCUGAUGCAGCAACGCCGCGUGCGGGAUGACGGCCUUCGGGUUGUAAACCGCUUUCGCCUGUGACGAAGCGUGAGUGACGGUAAUGGGUAAAGAAGCACCGGCUAACUACGUGCCAGCAGCCGCGGUGAUACGUAGGGUGCGAGCGUUGUCCGGAUUUAUUGGGCGUAAAGGGCUCGUAGGUGGUUGAUCGCGUCGGAAGUGUAAUCUUGGGGCUUAACCCUGAGCGUGCUUUCGAUACGGGUUGACUUGAGGAAGGUAGGGGAGAAUGGAAUUCCUGGUGGAGCGGUGGAAUGCGCAGAUAUCAGAGGAACACCCAGUGGCGAAGGCGGUUCUCUGGGCCUUUCCUGACGCUGAGGAGCGAAAGCGUGGGGAGCGAACAGGCUUAGAUACCCUGGUAGUCCACGCUGUAAACGGUGGGUACUAGGUGUGGGGUCCAUUCCACGGGUUCCGUGCCGUAGCUAACGCUUUAAGUACCCCGCCUGGGGAGUACGGCCGCAAGGCUAAAACUCAAAGGAAUUGACGGGGCCCCGCACAAGCGGCGGAGCAUGCGGAUUAAUUCGAUGCAACGCGUAGAACCUUACCUGGGUUUGACAUGGAUCGGGAGUGCUCAGAGAUGGGUGUGCCUCUUUUGGGGUCGGUUCACAGGUGGUGCAUGGCUGUCGUCAGCUCGUGUCGUGAGAUGUUGGGUUAAGUCCCGCAACGAGCGCAACCCUUGUUCACUGUUGCCAGCACGUUAUGGUGGGGACUCAGUGGAGACCGCCGGGGUCAACUCGGAGGAAGGUGGGGAUGACGUCAAGUCAUCAUGCCCCUUAUGUCCAGGGCUUCACGCAUGCUACAAUGGCUGGUACAGAGAGUGGCGAGCCUGUGAGGGUGAGCGAAUCUCGGAAAGCCGGUCUCAGUUCGGAUUGGGGUCUGCAACUCGACCUCAUGAAGUCGGAGUCGCUAGUAAUCGCAGAUCAGCAACGCUGCGGUGAAUACGUUCCCGGG
rnacentral:rRNA from 1 species